AGUGCAGUGUAGAACCCUUUUCUCAGGCAAAACCUAACAUCUGACCGCACCCUUUUUGCUAUUAAAAAAAAAAAAAAGCUUCUAUUUUUUUCCUCCUGUCGUUAAGAUAAAUUCUCCAGUAGACAACCUCUCCCACUAAUUGUGUAUUAGCAACGUAUUUUAUCUUGAGAGCUUGUACACUGGGCUCUCAACGUGGUGUGGAAGGUAGCCUGUUACAGUGCUGGAUUCAUAAAAGGGCCUUUAUGGUUUGUGAAAGAAUAUCUGUGUGCUUAGGGAGGAAACUUUUUGAUCUGCAGAAAAGCCAGAAGACAUCUAGGACAUCCAUAAAAAUUCAUCAGAGAGCAUUUUACUACUGAGCUGCAAAGAUGACAAGAGCACCUCAAAGGCAGCAGCCUCAAGGAGCAGCCAUGGCCCCAGACUUGUCGCACGGAUGCAGAAAACUUAAUGGAGGAGGCUGAGGAACUCUUCCAGACUCUGGGAAAUAUGUCUCCAAGAAAGCAGACAAUACCCCUGCCCUCUGUGGAAGACUGACAAAUAUACAAGUGCAUAUGUAUAUAUAGACUGUCAGAUGAUGUAAGUAUGAUGAAGAAAAUGAAAGCCAUGUAAUGGGUGAUGGAGCGGGGCAUAGAAAGGUGCCAUUUGCUAUUUUAUAGAAGUAGAUCAGGGAAGACCAUGUCAUGGUAGAUAUCUGAGCAGAGACCAUUCCAGGUGUGGGAGCAUGUCAGAGAGGUAUCCAGGGGCAACAGUUCCAGGCAGAGAAAGCAUGAAGAGCAAGGUGCCCAAGGCCAGAGCAUGUGUGCUUGGCAUUUUCCAGGAGCAGCAAGGAAUUUAGUGUGGCUGAAGGAGAAUGAGCAAGGGAGAAAGCAGCAGGAGAGUGCACAUGAAGCCCUGUGUGCCAUUACGAAGACUCUGCUUUUUUUUUUUUUUUGAGUCGGAGUCUUGCUCUUCCGCCCAGGCCGGAGUGCAGUGGCGCGAUCUCGGCUCACUGCAAGCUCCGCCUCCCGGGUUCACGCCAUUCUCCUGCCUCAGCCUCCCGAGUAGCUGGGACUACAGGCGCCUGCCACCUCGCCUGGCUAAUUUUUUGCAUUUUUUUUAGUAGAGACGGGGUUUCACAGUGUUAGCCAGGAUGGUCUCGAUCUCCUGACCUCGUGAUCCGCCUGCCUCGGCCUCCCAAAGUGCUCACCCUCCCUACCUUUAGCGUCUGCCUCACCUCUUGUCUCUGUGUUCCUCUAUACCUGUGCUGUCUUGUAUGGUCACCACUAGCCACAUGUGUCUACUGAGAACUUGGAAUGGGGCUAGCCCAAAUGGACAAUAUGAGAAAAAUGUAAAAUAUCUCAAUACUUUUCGUAUUGUUUCAUACGUUGAAAUACAAAUAGUUUGAAUAUAUUUGAUUAAGAAAAAUGAA
rnacentral:lncRNA from 1 species